rnacentral:rRNA from 1 species
CCGAUCUCGAAAACCUAGUCCCAGUUCGGACUGGAGUCUGCAACCCGACUCCACGAAGUUGGAUUCGCUAGUAAUCGCGCAUCAGCCAUGGCGCGGUGAAUACGUUCCCGGGCCUUGUACACACCGCCCGUCAAGCCAUGGGAGCCGGGGGCGCCUGAAGUCCGGGACCGUCACAGGAGCGACCUAAGGCAAGACCGAUGACUGGGGCUAAGUCGUAACAAGGUAAC